CAGCCGCCGCGGGAAUACGGAGGAUCCAAGCGUUAUCCGGAAUUAUUGGGUUUAAAGGGUGCGUAGGCGGAUAGAUAAGUCAGUGGUGAAAGACGGUGGCUCAACCAUCGCAGUGCCGUUGAUACUGUUUAUCUUGAAUAUGGAUGAGGUAGGCGGAAUGUGGCAAGUAGCGGUGAAAUGCAUAGAUAUGCCACAGAACACCGAUUGCGAAGGCAGCUUACCAAGGCAAAAUUGACGCUGAGGCACGAAAGCGUGGGGAUCGAACAGGAUUAGAUACCCGAGUAGUCCCUGUCUCUUAUAC
rnacentral:rRNA from 1 species